rnacentral:rRNA from 1 species
AGAGUUUGAUCCUGGCUCAGAUUGAACGCUGGCGGCAUGCCUUACACAUGCAAGUCGAACGGCAGCGCGGGGCAACCUGGCGGCGAGUGGCGAACGGGUGAGUAAUAUAUCGGAACGUGCCCUGGAGUGGGGGAUAACGCAGCGAAAGUUGCGCUAAUACCGCAUACGAUCUAAGGAUGAAAGCAGGGGACCGCAAGGCCUUGUGCUCCUGGAGCGGCCGAUAUCUGAUUAGCUAGUUGGUGGGGUAAAGGCCUACCAAGGCAUCGAUCAGUAGCUGGUCUGAGAGGACGACCAGCCACACUGGAACUGAGACACGGUCCAGACUCCUACGGGAGGCAGCAGUGGGGAAUUUUGGACAAUGGGCGAAAGCCUGAUCCAGCAAUGCCGCGUGAGUGAAGAAGGCCUUCGGGUUAAAAGCUCUUUUGUCAGGGAAGAAACGG